rnacentral:rRNA from 1 species
AGAGUUUGAUCCUGGCUCAGGAUGAACGCUGGCGGUCUGCUUAACACAUGCAAGUCGAACGGAAUCCAGCAAUGGAUUUAGUGGCGGACGGGUGAGUAACGCGUGAGAAUCUGCCUUCAGGACGGGGACAACAGUUGGAAACGACUGCUAACACCCGAUGUGCCUUAGGGUGAAAAAUUUAUUGCCUGAAGAUGAGCUCGCGUCCGAUUAGCUAGUUGGCGGGGUAAGAGCCCACCAAGGCAGCGAUCGGUAGCUGGUCUGAGAGGAUGAGCAGCCACACUGGGACUGAGACACGGCCCAGACUCCUACGGGAGGCAGCAGUGGGGAAUUUUCCGCAAUGGGCGAAAGCCUGACGGAGCAAGACCGCGUGGGGGAGGAAGGCUCUUGGGUUGUAAACCCCUUUUCUCAGGGAAGAAUAAUGACGGUACCUGAGGAAUCAGCCUCGGCUAACUCCGUGCCAGCAGCCGCGGUAAUACGGAGGAGGCAAGCGUUAUCCGGAAUUAUUGGGCGUAAAGCGUCCGCAGGUGGCUCGUCAAGUCGGUGGUCAAAGCACAGGGCUUAACUCUGUAAAGGCCGGCGAAACUGACAAGCUAGAGUGCGGUAGGGGCAGAGGGAAUUCCCGGUGUAGCGGUGAAAUGCGUAGAGAUCGGGAAGAACACCAGUAGCGAAAGCGCUCUGCUGGACCGCAACUGACACUCAGGGACGAAAGCUAGGGGAGCGAAUGGGAUUAGAUACCCCAGUAGUCCUAGCCGUAAACGAUGGAUACUAGGUGUUGUCUGUAUCGACCCGGACAGUGCCGG